rnacentral:rRNA from 1 species
GAUGAACGCUAGCGAUAGGCCUAACACAUGCAAGUCGAGGGGCAUCACAUGAAGUAGCAAUACGGAUGGUGGCGACCGGCGCACGGGUGAGUAACACGUAUGCAACCUGCCUUCAACAAGGGGAUAACCCGUUGAAAGACGGACUAAUACCCUAUAACACAGGGGUCCCGCAUGGGGAUAUUUGUUAAAGGACAACCGGUUGAAGAUGGGCAUGCGUUCCAUUAGCUAGUUGGCGGGGUAAGGGCCCACCAAGGCAACGAUGGAUAGGGGAACUGAGAGGUUUAUCCCCCACACUGGUACUGAGACACGGACCAGACUCCUACGGGAGGCAGCAGUGAGGAAUAUUGGUCAAUGGACGCAAGUCUGAACCAGCCACGUCGCGUGAAGGAAGACGGCCCUACGGGUUGUAAACUUCUUUUGCAAGGGAAUAAAGUGGGCCACGUGUGGCCUUUUGCAAGUACCUUGCGAAUAAGGAUCGGCUAACUCCGUGCCAGCAGCC